rnacentral:rRNA from 1 species
AUUGAACGCUGGCGGCAGGCCUAACACAUGCAAGUCGAACGGUAACAGGAAACAGCUUGCUGUUUCGCUGACGAGUGGCGGACGGGUGAGUAAUGUCUGGGAAACUGCCUGAUGGAGGGGGAUAACUACUGGAAACGGUAGCUAAUACCGCAUAACGUCGCAAGACCAAGGAGGGGGACCUUCGGGCCUCUUGCCAUCGGAUGUGCCCAGAUGGGAUUAGCUAGUAGGUGGGGUAACGGCUCACCUAGGCGACGAUCCCUAGCUGGUCUGAGAGGAUGACCAGCCACACUGGAACUGAGACACGGUCCAGACUCCUACGGGAGGCAGCAGUGGGGAAUAUUGCACAAAGGGCGCAAGCCUGAUGCAGCCAUGCCGCGUGUAUGAAGAAGGCCUUCGGGUUGUAAAGUACUUUCAGCGGGGAGGAAGGGAGUAAAGUUAAUACCUUUACUCAUUGACGUUACCCGCAGAAGAAGCACCGGCUAACUCCGUG